rfam:Triticum aestivum genome assembly, contig: Triticum_aestivum_CS42_TGACv1_scaffold_062749_1DL
UCUCUGUGAUGUUGAAAACAGAUAAUUAGCCGAUGUAGUCCAUUCUAUUAAACCAUGUGGACAACUGAGGCAUUUGUCUGAGAGAA